AGUGAACGCUGGCGGUAGGCCUAACCCAUGCAAGUCGAACGGCAGCACAGUAAGAGCUUGCUCUUACGGGUGGCGAGUGGCGGACGGGUGAGGAAUACAUCGGAAUCUACUUUUUCGUGGGGGAUAACGUAGGGAAACUUACGCUAAUACCGCAUACGACCUACGGGUGAAAGCAGGGGAUCUUCGGACCUUGCGCGAUUGAAUGAGCCGAUGUCGGAUUAGCUAGUUGGCGGGGUAAAGGCCCACCAAGGCGACGAUCCGUAGCUGGUCUGAGAGGAUGAUCAGCCACACUGGAACUGAGACACGGUCCAGACUCCUACGGGAGGCAGCAGUGGGGAAUAUUGGACAAUGGGCGCAAGCCUGAUCCAGCCAUACCGCGUGGGUGAAGAAGGCCUUCGGGUUGUAAAGCCCUUUUGUUGGGAAAGAAAAGCAGCAGGUUAAUACCCCGCUGUUCUGACGGUACCCAAAGUAUAAGCACCGGCUAACUUCGUG
rnacentral:rRNA from 1 species